CCUAAGUCUUCCCUCCUGGGUUUGGAGGCAAGCUGGAGAAAACUUCUUGGAAGAGAUGUCCCCUGAGUAUUAGGAAUUAUCUUAGUUCUUACUUUUUCCCCACGGCUUCAGGGAUAAAAAAGCCUACUGGUCUCUCUGGAGGAAGAAUUGAUGCUUAGAAACACAGGUACAGGGCUAAUGUCUUCACCAUGUGCCUCCAGGUUCAUAAUACAUGCUCCUUGGCUUCAUUUUACAGAUGAGGAAAAGGCAGACAUGGAAGGGUGACUUUCAAGGAACUCAAGAAUAUCAGAUUUUGAACAUUUUGGCAAAAUGUCAGAGAUUGGUUGCAAAGCAAAUCUAUCUACAAACAAAUUAAUGCCAGAUGUGUUUUCUGACUCAGGAUGCCUUGCUCUGCUUCUCUCUGGUUUCUGAGAUAUUCCAAGUCCAUGGGUCAAGUCUCAUUUCCAAAAUAUAAUUGAAAGAAAAUAUAUAAUGCCUGGAAUAUAGUAGAUGUUCAAGAAAAUGAGUAAUGCCGCCUUUCUUCUUCCUCUUCUUGUUUUCAAGAAUGUACCCGUGGUACUAAAAAGACUAUUUUUUGUUUUGAAUGUUUAAUUGUACUACAAUAUAAACCAUAUGGGGUCAUUUCUAAAUGCUGCUUGGGGAUGAGAGUCCUCUUGAUCCUACCCCUG
rnacentral:lncRNA from 1 species